rnacentral:rRNA from 1 species
GUGUACGGCCAUGCCACACUGAAUGUGCCUGAUCUCGUCUGAUCUCAGAAGCUAAGCAGGGUCAGGUCCAGUUAGUACUUGGAUGGGAGACCAAACAGUUCUGAUACUUGCCUU